GCUCCUACGAUCCCGGCACGACCAGGGCUCGGUCAAAAUUUGUCCGUCGUUAGCACGGUAAGGCGAAUCUUGUGAAGCAAAAUUCUGGUCCCCAAUCUUCUUUUUUAGUUGUGAAACGUGAAAAAUGGGAUGAAUCUUGGAUCCUUGUGGCAGCUUGAGCUCAUAAGCAACUGAACCAAUUUUCCGAACAACCUGGUACGGUCCGAAGAACCUUGCAAAAAACUUCAAGUUUCGGCGUAAUGCGACAGAGCUCUGGCGGUUAUCUUUUAGCACUUUAUCCAUCAAUUGUCGGUCUCGAGCAAGCCCGAUCCCCGUUGUGUCUAGCUUGGUCUGGGCAUCUAAUUCAAAGGUUGGCUGAGGAGGAUCAUAACCGUAAAGAGCUUUGAAUGGUGACAUGCCCAAAUAGCUGUGGAAGUUCGAGUUAUACCAAAAUUCAGCCUGUGCCAACCAUUUACUCCAUUCUGCUAGUUUAUGGCCCGUCAUGCAUCUGAGGCCACUGAUGAAAUCCAUAGCCACAUGUUCCCAAGCUCGAGUUGGAAUUGGUAAUUGUUGCAAUAAUCCUGGGUAAGAAAUAUUUUCAUCUUUGUUUCGCUGGCAUAUUUCACACUCCCUAAUCUGUUUUUUCACAUUUUGUAACAAAUUGGGUCAGUAGAAAAUGUUUCUGACUCUCUGUUGAGUAGCUAACA